UAUCUCAGCAUGGAUCUGCAGCCUUCCCUCUGCUUCCUUUCCACCCCAGAAGCCUCUCACCAUUUCUUCCCCUUCAUUUCAAGCUCAACCGCAGCUCUGAAGCAAGAGUUUCCUUCCAUACGGUGGGACUAUUUAUAGGAAAGGUUAAAUUGAAACUUGAAAAAUGUAUUUGUAAAGCUCCGAGCAGGAUCUGGAGGACGAGAGCCUUGUGAUUCUUCAAGCUCUGGCUGAAGAAAUCGUGCUAUACACACCGAGGAGUCUGACAAGGUUGAUUUGUUCUGCUCUACUGUGAAAUUCACCCUGAGGAAGAAGGAAAAAAAAUAAUGAAAAAUCAGCUAUUGCUUUCUUUCAAAGCAUACAAAUGAUAUGAAGUUUUAAAGUUUUACUGUCAUUAAAUUCACAACCUAAAGAGGAAA